UACGGAGGGGGUUAGCGUUGUUCGGAAUUACUGGGCGUAAAGCGCACGUAGGCGGAUUAGUAAGUUAGAGGUGAAAUCCCAGGGCUCAACCCUGGAACUGCCUUUAAUACUGCUAGUCUUGAGUUCGAGAGAGGUAAGUGGAAUUCCGAGUGUAGAGGUGAAAUUCGUAGAUAUUCGGAAGAACACCAGUGGCGAAGGCGGCUGGCUGGUCAAGAAUUGACGCUGAGGUGCGAAAGCGUGGGGAGCAAACAGG
rnacentral:rRNA from 1 species